CCUACGGGAGGCAGCAGUGGGGGAUAUUGCACAAUGGGGGGAACCCUGAUGCAGCGACGCCGCGUGGGUGAAGGAGUGCUUCGGCAUGUAAAGCCCUAUCGGCAGGGAAGAAGCAAGACGGUACCUGACUAAGAAGCCCCGGCUAACUACGUGCCAGCAGCCGCGGUAAUACGUAGGGGGCGCGCGUUAUCCGGAUUCACUGGGUGGAAAGGGAUCGUAGACGGCCAUGCAAGCCAGGGGUGAAAGCCCGGGGCCCAACCCCGGGACUGCCCUUGGAAAUGCACGGCUGGAGGGCGGGUGGGGCAGGCGGAAUUGCUGGUGUAGCGGUGAAAGGCGUAGAGAUCAGGCGGAACACCGGCGGCGAAGGCGGCCUGCUGGGCCGCGACUGACGUUGAGGCUCGAAAGCGUGGGGAGCGAACAGGAUUAGAUACCCCUGUAGUG
rnacentral:rRNA from 1 species